AGAGUUUGAUCCUGGCUCAGAUUGAACGCUGGCGGCAUGCCUUACACAUGCAAGUCGAACGGCAGCAUGAUCUAGCUUGCUAGAUUGAUGGCGAGUGGCGAACGGGUGAGUAAUACAUCGGAACGUGCCCUGUAGUGGGGGAUAACUAGUCGAAAGAUUAGCUAAUACCGCAUACGACCUGAGGGUGAAAGUGGGGGACCGCAAGGCCUCAUGCUAUAGGAGCGGCCGAUGUCUGAUUAGCUAGUUGGUGGGGUAAAGGCCCACCAAGGCGACGAUCAGUAGCUGGUCUGAGAGGACGAUCAGCCACACUGGGACUGAGACACGGCCCAGACUCCUACGGGAGGCAGCAGUGGGGAAUUUUGGACAAUGGGCGAAAGCCUGAUCCAGCAAUGCCGCGUGUGUGAAGAAGGCCUUCGGGUUGUAAAGCACUUUUGUCCGGAAAGAAAUGGCUCUGGUUAAUACCUGGGGUCGAUGACGGUACCGGAAGAAUAAGGACCGGCUAACUACGUGCCAGCAGCCGCGGUAAUACGUAGGGUCCAAGCGUUAAUCGGAAUUACUGGGCGUAAAGCGUGCGCAGGCGGUUGUGCAAGACCGAUGUGAAAUCCCCGAGCUUAACUUGGGAAUUGCAUUGGUGACUGCACGGCUAGAGUGUGUCAGAGGGGGGUAGAAUUCCACGUGUAGCAGUGAAAUGCGUAGAGAUGUGGAGGAAUACCGAUGGCGAAGGCAGCCCCCUGGGAUAACACUGACGCUCAUGCACGAAAGCGUGGGGAGCAAACAGGAUUAGAUACCCUGGUAGUCCACGCCCUAAACGAUGUCAACUAGUUGUUGGGGAUUCAUUUCCUUAGUAACGUAGCUAACGCGUGAAGUUGACCGCCUGGGGAGUACCGGUCGCAAGAUUAAAACUCAAAGGAAUUGACGGGGACCCGGCGCAACCCUUGUCUCUAGUUGCUACGAAAGGGCACUCUAGAGAGACUGCCGGUGACAAACCGGAGGAAGGUGGGGAUGACGUCAAGUCCUCAUGGCCCUUAUGGGUAGGGCUUCACACGUCAUACAAUGGUGCAUACAGAGGGUUGCCAAGCCGCGAGGUGGAGCUAAUCCCAGAAAAUGCAUCGUAGUCCGGAUCGUAGUCUGCAACUCGACUACGUGAAGCUGGAAUCGCUAGUAAUCGCGGAUCAGCAUGCCGCGGUGAAUACGUUCCCGGGUCUUGUACACACCGCCCGUCACACCAUGGGAGUGGGCUUUACCAGAAGUAGUUAGCCUAACCGCAAGGAGGGCGAUUACCACGGUAGGGUUCAUGACUGGGGUGAAGUCGUAACAAGGUAACC
rnacentral:rRNA from 1 species